UUAACUAUUAAGUUUGUAACUAAGACAUCAUAUUUAAUCAAGAAUUUGAAGGGGCCACUGACGGGCACGGGCCAGAAGUCUGGUUGAGACCAAACUUCCGGCGGUCGUGAGACGGGCCCGCCAAAGCAACAUGGUAAUUAAACAAAGGGUUGGAGAUCGGGCCCGGAGACCCUUACUCUUUAAUGAUCCUUCCGCAGGUUCACCUACGGAAA
rnacentral:misc_RNA from 1 species